rnacentral:rRNA from 1 species
UAGCAUAAUCAAUAGUCUUUUAAUUGGAGGCUGGAAUGAAGGGUCGGACAAGGGGGAAGCUGUCUUUUUUACAAUUUUUGAAUUUUACUUUUAAGUGAAAAGGCUUAAAUGGGUUGGGGGGACGAUAAGACCCUAUAAAAUUUUACAGAGUCGGGAUCUUUUUUUAAAUUAGUGUUUAAAUUCUAUAGGUUCUUGUUUGUUUUGUUGGGGCGACAAAGAUAAAAUUUAGUAACUGUCAUUUAAUUAGAAUAAGUAUAAUUAGUUUAGUUGAUCCUUUAUUAGAGAUUAAAAGAUUAAGUUACUUUAGGGAUAACAGCGUAAUUUUUCCCUGAGAGUUCUUAUCGACGGGAGUAGUUGCGACCCCGAUGUUGAAUUAAGGA